rnacentral:rRNA from 1 species
UUGUGUAAUUAUAUAGUAUUAACAUAAUUCAUAUUACUAUUUUUAGUAUAUGAAAUUUUACUUUGAGAAAAUUAGAGUGCUUAAAGCAGGCUUUUGCCUUGAAUACUUCAGCAUGGAAUAAUAAUUAAAGAUUUUUAUCUUUCUUUUAUUGGUUCUAAGAUAAAAAUAAUGAUUAAUAGGGACAGUUGGGGGCAUUUGUAUUUAACAGUUAGAGGUGAAAUUCUUAGAUUUGUUAAAGACAAACUAGUGCGAAAGCAUUUGCCAAGGAUGUUUUCAUUAAUCAAGAACGAAAGUUAGGGGAUCGAAGACGAUCAGAUACCGUCGUA